UAUCGGGUCUACCACCCUGAACGCGCCCGAUCUCGUCUGAUCUCGGAAGCUAAGCAGGGUCGGGCCCGGUUAGUACUUGGAUGGGAGACCGCCUGGGAAUACCGGGUGCUAAGAAAA
rnacentral:rRNA from 1 species